UGGGGAAUACUGCACAAUGGGCGCAAGCCUGAUGCAGCCAUGCCGCGUGUGUGAAGAAGGCCUUCGGGUUGUAAAGCACUUUCAGCGAGGAGGAAGGUGGUGGACUUAAUACGUUCAUCAAUUGACGUUACUCGCAGAAGAAGCACCGGCUAACUCCGUGCCAGCAGCCGCGGUAAUACGGAGGGUGCAAGCGUUAAUCGGAAUUACUGGGCGUAAAGCGCACGCAGGCGGUUUGUUAAGUCAGAUGUGAAAUCCCCGGGCUCAACCUGGGAACUGCAUUUGAAACUGGCAAGCUAGAGUCUCGUAGAGGGGGGCUAGAAUUCCAGGUGUAGCGGUGAAAUGCGUAGAGAUCUGGAGGAAUACCGGUGGCGAAGGCGGCCCCCCUGGACGAAGACUGACGCUCAGGUGCGAAAGCGUGGGGCAGCAAACAGGAUUAGAUACCCUGGU
rnacentral:rRNA from 1 species